GUCGCCAGCAAUUAUUAGUUCACUCCUGCUGGAUCUGUCCUAGAGGCCUCCCGUGCACAAGAAUGUGAAGACUGUUGGCAGCUGCUAGCUGGAGAAGCCCUGAUCCACCUCAAGGGACGAAGGACCCAACAGAAGUCACAUGAUUCAAGUUAACACAUCUAUGUAACAAAACCCAGACAAAAACUCCAUACAUCAAAGCUUGAGAACGUGAUAUUUACAUGAUAUUUUGAAGGACUUUGGAACCAUUGAAAGACAAGCUUUGGAGUGGAGUUUGACUUUAUAAGUUAUCCCAUUCACC
rnacentral:lncRNA from 1 species